rnacentral:rRNA from 1 species
AGUUUGAUUCUGGCUCAGAUUGAACGCUGGCGGGAUGCUUUACGUAAGUCGGACGGCAGCACGGACUUCGGUCUGGUGGCGAGUGGCGAACGGGUGAGUAAUGUAUCGGAACGUGCCUAGUAGCGGGGGAUAACUACGCGAAAGCGUAGCUAAUACCGCAUACGCCCUUCGGGGGAAAGCGGGGGACCUUCGGGCCUCGCACUAUUGGGCGGCCGAUAUCGGAUUAGCUAGUUGGUGGGGUAACGGCUCACCAAGGCGACGAUCCGUAGCUGGUUUGAGAGGACGACCAGCCACACUGGACGGGGUUGGCCCAGACUCUACGGGAGGCAGCAGUGAAAUUUUGGACAAUGGGGAAACCCUGAUCCAGCCAUCGCGUGUGCGAUGAAGGCCUUCCGGGUUGUAAAGCACUUUUUGGCAGGAAAGAAACGGCACGGGAUAUUACCCCGUGCAACUGACGGUACCUGCAGAAUAAGCACCGGCUAACUACGUGCCAGCAGCCGCGGUAAUACGUAAGUGCAAGCGUUAAUCAGAUUACUGGGCGUAAAGCGUGCGCAGGCGGUUCGGAAAGAAGAUGUGAAAUCCCAGAGCUUAACUUUGGAACUGCAUUUUUAACUACCGAGCUAGAGUGUGUCAGAGGGAGGUGGAAUUCCGCGUGUAGCAGUGAAAAAUGCGUAGAUAUGCGGAGGAACACCGAUGGCGAAGGCAGCCUCCUGGGAUAACACUGACGCUCAUGCACAGCGAUGGGGAGCAAACAAGGAUUAGAUACCCUGGUAGUCUGCCUAAACGAUGUCCAACUAGCUGUUGGGGCCUUCGGGCCUUGGUAGCGCAACUAGCGUGGUAAGUUGACCGCCUGCAGAUGCAGUCGCAAGAUUAAAACUCAAAGGAAUUGACGGGGACCCGCACAAGCGGUGGAUGAUGUGGAUUAAUUCAUUUAGCGCGAAAAACCUUACCUACCCUUGACAUGUCUGGAAUCCCGAAGAGAUUUGGGAGUGCUCGCAAGAGAACCGGAACACAGGUGCUGCAUGGCUGUCGUCAGCUCGUGUCGUGAGAUGUUGGGUUAAGUCCCGCAACGAGCGCAACCCUUGUCAUUAGUUGCUACGAAAGGGCCUCUAAUGAGACUGCCGGUGAUAAACCGGAGGAAGGUGGGGAUGACGUCAAGUCCUCAUGGCCCUUAUGGGUAGGGCUACACGUCAUACAAUGGUCGGGACAGAGGGUCGCCAACCCGAGGGACUAAUCCAGAGGCGAUCGUAGUCCGGAUCGCAGUCUGCAACUCGACUGCGUGAAGUCGGAAUCGCUAGUAAUCGCGGAUCAGCAUGUCGCGGUGAAUACGUUCCCGGGUCUUGUACACACCGCCCGUCACACCAUGGAGUGGGUUUACCAGAAGCGUUAGCCUAACCGUAAGGAGGGCGAUUACCACGGUAGGAUUCAUGACUGGGGUGAAGUCGUAACAAGGUAG